rnacentral:lncRNA from 1 species
AGUGUUUGUAAAAGGUACUAUGUGAUGACAUUGUGUAACUGAAAGCCUCUUUUUAUUGACAGGUCAUGAAAACUCAAGGCUGGAGAAAUUUCUCUGUGUCGGACUGCAGAGUUACACUCCCCACAGCCUGAAGGAAUGAACUUCCAGGAGGAAAAAUGGUCCACAUCACUCAAGUAGCACAUGGGCAGUCAUGCCUUAGUAACAGUCAGGAGAACCAACUCAAGACAGACACAUUUCCAUCAUGAACAGAGCCUUGUCAAGCCCCUCUGCCAACAGGCACUCCACACUUCAUCAGGCAGUUUUUCUCAGGGAUUCUGAGAAAAUUCUCAGGGAUUCUGAGAAGAUUCAAACAGAACUUUGCUGUCUCUUAACACCUCUAGCUGCAGAUCUGUGUAUUACUGCAGAAGCAUCCCACUGGGAAAAGGCUGCAUAAGUUCUGGCCACCGUGUAAAUCCCACGCUGACGACUCACUUGGAAAGAAGAAAAGACACAAAAUGUUGUGCUGGCUCUCUAAGUGAAGGUAAGUGUUGUCCUACAUAAACAGUAAUGAGAGCAAAGCUAAAUGGUGCCCAAAUCCUGUUUCAGGAGCAAACCAU